UUUCGUCCGAAAUCACUGCGGCAGAAUACAAAUAAUGUACGAAAUAAAAAGCCUUUGCCAAGUGCGCCAAGACUGCAGCCUUCGCUUACGAAUCACACCUGCGUCUCUUUCUCCCAACGCACCCGCGGUAGGAUCACGGUGUGAGAUCGCACCCCAGUCUGCCGGGAAUUUAAUUUCCACUUCCCCUCCCAACAAACGACCACGAACACCAACCCUUCCGGGCGCGAAGCUGCACGGAAGGUGGGGAAGGCCAAGGGACCGCGCGGCGAGCCCGCACUGUGGGGCGCGCCCGCCUCCCGCCGCAGACCCUGGAUGAUCUGAGUUCCACUGAGGCCUGAGCCGGGAAGAAGCCGAGCAAUGAGAUGCCGUAAAAUGGCUGCCAGGAGGGGGUUGCUCUGUGCCAAGGACAGCAUGUCCUCCCCGCGGGAUCCGGUGUGCUCCCAGCCCGCCGCCAGGCAGCGGCUGAGACGCCUCAAAUUUGGGGCGCAUCCCAAGGCCAAGGCGAGGCGACCUCCACAGCUUCACUUAGCUCGCAGAAGGUCACCUUCGCCCCCACCCCCAUGCGGCACGUGCGGCGAGGCAUCGCCAUGGCAACCUCCCUUUCCUCCCCUCUCUUGUUAUUGAACAGCUGAGACACCCAGCGUCCCUGAACUUGUUACUGCACAAGUUAAUGCGGUCCUCUGAGGGCUUGGUUUCCUAACUAUUGUUCUUUGGGCAACUGACUGCUUCCUGAAACAAAAAGCAAAACCAAACCCUACGCGUGUGUCUCAGGCGUUCUCCUGGCCCUAAAUUGCCUGCGAAUCUGGUCAUUCUCUUCCUAGCAAGCGCAACAGAAUAAACUGGAAGGAAGCAAGGAUUCAAGUCCAACCCUGAUUUACUGACACUAACGUUGGAUCCAUUUUGAUGUUUUAAGCCUUCAGUUUCUCUAGUUACAAACCAUUAAUAGUUAUAUGACUACUAUCUCUCUCAUAUAUGGUUGGUGAGUAUGCAAUGACGAAUGUGUUCACAGUGGUUAUCUCUGGGUGCUGCAAUUACAGGUGACGUUUCCCUUUUCCUUAUUCUUUCUUUGACGAUGAUAAGAACUAUUUUAUGCAAGAAUAAAAAUACAAAAACAUG